rnacentral:tRNA from 1 species
CUCCCGAUGGUCUAGUUGGUUCAUGGCGUCCGACUGUAAUUGCGCGGUCUUAUCGGAAAGUCGCCUGUUCGAUUCAGGCUCGGGAGA